GCACAUCUAACUAAAUACACCCAAACAGGAAUAUCAAAACCUGGAAAUAACAAGAAGACAAUUCCAGAAUUAAAAAUGUAAUAGCAUACUAACCUCUAUUUAUUUCGAUAAAAUGCAGUAUGGCAAUCAACCCAUAAGUCCCUUGCAUGAAAAUUUUGUGUUUUCAGCAUGGAACACCAAUUCCCCUCCUUUCCAAUAUUUUUCACCUUUCUCCUCUUUAUCUUCAUGGCAUUGAGAAUAUGGAAGAAAUCAAAUAUCAACAACUCAUCCCUCAAUUUACCACCAGGACCAUGGAAAUUGCCUCUGAUAGGUAGUAUGCAUCAUUUAGUUGGCUCCUUACCCCAUCACCGUCUAAGAGACUUGGCUAAAAAGAUGGACCUCUUAUGCACAUUCAACUUGGUGAAGUUACCAAUA
rnacentral:misc_RNA from 1 species